AGGAAAUCGAGUUCCCAAUAUGACUGAUCAGGAUCAAGAAUCAUCAGCUCUCCACGCUUUUCAUAUUUUCCCUGGAGAAGAGCCAGGAUGUGAAUAUUUAUAAACACUGAAUAAUCACCAAACAAGAAACUACCUCUAGAUGUUCCACAAUGACAGGAAUGAAUCAUUCCUACUUCUAUCCCCUGUGCCUAAACAGAGCCUAGCACCAUGGCAAGAGGAGAGCUUGGGAGAUGAGCCAUUUCAGGAGGGCUGGGGUGAAAGCAAGCCCUGGUGCCACUCAAAGUGGAGAAGCUGGAGGUGAGAAGUGCACCGGGUCGGGAGCCACGAAGCUGACUAUACUACUGUGAAAAAAAUAGGCCAGGAAAAAACCUACCUCUCUGAAAGAAAGACCCUUCAAGGAAAAUGUAUUCUCCCCAUAUGGUUCCAGAGGGAAAACAGACAUACAAUAAA
rnacentral:lncRNA from 1 species